GGGUUCGAUUCCGGAGAGGGAGCCUGAGAAACGGCUACCACNUNNNANGAAGGCAGCAGGCGCGCAAAUUACCCAAUCCCGACACGGGGAGGUAGUGACAAUAAAUAACAAUACGGGGCUCUUUCGGGUCUCGUAAUUGGAAUGAGUACAAUUUAAAUCCCUUAACGAGGAACAAUUGGAGGGCAAGUCUGGUGCCAGCAGCCGCGGUAAUUCCAGCUCCAAUAGCGUAUAUUAAAGUUGUUGCAGUUAAAAAGCUCGUAGUUGAAUUUCGGGAUUGACACAUCGGUCGUGCCUUAAGGGGUAUGAACUGGUGUAGUCAAUUUCUCACCUUCUGGAGAACCGCGAUGCCCUUAAUUGGGUGUCACGGGGAACCAGGACCUUUACUUUGAAAAAAUUAGAGUGUUUAAAGCAGGCAUUUUGCUUGAAUACAUUAGCAUGGAAUAAUAAAAUAGGACGGCAUGAUUCUAUUUUGUUGGUUUCUAGGAUCACCGUAAUGAUUAAUAGGGAUAGUUGGGGGCAUUAGUAUUCAAUUGUCAGAGGUGAAAUUCUUGGAUUUAUUGAAGACUAACUACUGCGAAAGCAUUUGCCAAGGAUGUUUUCAUUAAUCAAGAACGAAAGUUAGGGGAUCGAAGACGAUCAGAUACCGUCGUAGUCUUAACCAUAAACUAUGCCGACUAGGAAUCAGACGAUGUUAAUUUUUUAAUGACUCGUUUGGCACCUUACGGGAA
rnacentral:rRNA from 1 species